UGAGUAACGCGUGAGCAACCUGUCCCAGACAGGGGGAUAACACUUGGAAACAGGUGCUAAUACCGCAUAAGACCACGGGGUCACAUGGCUCGUGGGGUAAAAAGGAGCAAUCCGGUUUGGGGUGGGCUCGCGUCCGAUUAGAUAGUUGGUGAGGUAACGGCCCACCAAGUCGACGAUCGGUAGCCGACCUGAGAGGGUGAUCGGCCACAUUGGAACUGAGAGACGGUCCAAACUCCUACGGGAGGCAGCAGUGGGGAAUAUUGGGCAAUGGGCGAAAGCCCUGACCCAGCAACGCCGCGUGAGUGAAGAAGGCCUUCGGGUUGUAAAGCUCUGUUAUAGGGGACGAAGGAAGUGACGGUACCCUAUAAGGAAGCCCCGGCUAACUACGUGCCAGCCGCUGC
rnacentral:rRNA from 1 species